AUACGUAGGGGGCGAGCGUUGUCCGGAAUGAUUGGGCGUAAAGGGCGCGUAGGCGGCGCGGUAAGUCUGGAGUGAAAGUCCUGCUUUCAAGGUGGGAAUUGCUUUGGAUACUGCCGCGCUUGAGUGCAGGAGAGGUUAUCGGAAUUCCCGGUGUAGCGGUGAAAUGCGUAGAGAUCGGGAGGAACACCAGUGGCGAAGGCGGGUAACUGGACUGCAACUGACGCUGAGGCGCGAAAGUGUGGGGAGCAAACAGGAUUAGAUACCCUGGUAGUCCACACCGUAAACGAUGAAUGCUAGGUGUAAGAGGUAUCGACCCCUUUUGUGCCGGAGUUAACACAAUAAGCAUUCCGCCUGGGGAGUACGGCCGCAAGGUUGAAACUCAAAGGAAUUGACGGGG
rnacentral:rRNA from 1 species